rnacentral:rRNA from 1 species
UACGUAGGGGGCUAGCGUUGUCCGGAAUCAUUGGGCGUAAAGAGCUCGUAGGCGGCCUGUUGCGUCGGUUGUGAAAGCCCGGGGCUUAACCCCGGGUCUGCAGUCGAUACGGGCGGGCUAGAGUUCGGUAGGGGAGAUCGGAAUUCCUGGUGUAGCGGUGAAAUGCGCAGAUAUCAGGAGGAACACCGGUGGCGAAGGCGGGUCUCUGGGCCGAAAUUGACGCUGAGGAGCGAAAGCGUGGGGAGCAAACAGG